ensembl:snoRNA U3 Small nucleolar RNA U3
CUGUGUGUACUUUCAGGGAUCAUGUUUAGAGUACGUUAGAAGACAAGUUUCCCUGCCCGUGUGAGUACAGUAGACCCUGAGGAGGAGGCCUAGUGCUCCUAUCUGAGCGUGAAGCCAGCCCUUGGUGGUGCUGUGCUGCAAAUGCUGCUUGCUGUUGGUGAUCCUUCUCGCUUUCUCCUUGGAGGGAGGAAGAGGGCAGGAGCAAUUUCAGUGGC